AGACUGCGUUUGAAACUGAUUAUCUUGAGUGUAACAGAGGAGAGUGGAAUUCCUAGUGUAGUGGUGAAAUACGUAGAUAUUAGGAAGAACACCAGUGGCGAAGGCGACUCUCUGGGUUAACACUGACGCUGAGGUACGAAAGCUGGGGGAGCGAACGGGAUUAGAUACCCCGGUAGUCCCAGCCGUAAACGAUGGAUACUAGGUGUUGGAGGUUCGAAUCCUUCAGUGCCGGAGUUAACGCAUUAAGUAUCCCGCCUGGGGAUUACGAUCGCAAGAUUGAAACUCAAAGGAAUUGACGGGGGCCCGCACAAGCGGUGGAGCAUGUGGUUUAAUUCGAAGCAACGCGAAGAACCUUACCGAGAAUUGACAUCCCGUGACCAUCUAUGAAAGUAGA
rnacentral:rRNA from 1 species